GGACGGGUGAGUAACACGUGGGUAACCUGCCCAUUAGAGGGGGAUAACAUUCGGAAACGGAUGCUAAUACCGCAUAGUUUCAGGAAUCGCAUGAUUCUUGAAGGAAAGGUGGCUUCGGCUACCACUAAUGGAUGGACCCGCGGCGUAUUAGCUAGUUGGUGAGGUAAUGGCUCACCAAGGCAAUGAUACGUAGCCGACCUGAGAGGGUGAUCGGCCACACUGGGACUGAGACACGGCCCAGACUCCUACUGGGAGGCAGCAGUAGGGAAUCUUCCGCAAUGGACGAAAGUCUGACGGAGCAACGCCGCGUGAGUGAAGAAGGUUUUCGGAUCGUAAAACUCUGUUGUUAAAGAAGAACAAGGAUGAGAGUAACUGCUCAUCCCCUGACGGUAUUUAACCAGAAAGCCACGGCUAACUACGUGCCAGCAGCCGCGGUAAUACGUAGGUGGCAAAGCGUUGUCCGGAUUUAUUGGGCGUAAAGCGAGCGCAGGCGGUUCUUUAAGUCUGAUGUGAAAGCCCCCGGCUCAACCGGGGAGGGUCAUUGGAAACUGGAGAACUUGAGUGCAGAAGAGGAGAGUGGAAUUCCACGUGUAGCGGUGAAAUGCGUAGAUAUGUGGAGGAACACCAGUGGCG
rnacentral:rRNA from 1 species